rnacentral:rRNA from 1 species
UACGUAGGGUGCGAGCGUUGAUCGGAAUUACUGGGCGUAAAGGGUGCGCAGGCGGCGUCGCAAGUCAGGCGUGAAAUCCCCGGGCUUAACCUGGGAACUGCACUUGAAACUACGAUGCUGGAGUAUGGCAGAGGGAGGUGGAAUUCCACGUGUAGCGGUGAAAUGCGUAGAGAUGUGGAGGAACACCGAUGGCGAAGGCAGCCUCCUGGGCCAAUACUGACGCUCAUGCACGAAAGCGUGGGGAGCAAACAGG